GUCAGGUGGUUAGGUAGAGAAUACCAAGGCGAUCGAGUGAAUCGUGGUUAAGGAAUUCGGCAAAAUACCCCCGUAACUUCGGGAGAAGGGGGGCCCGGAAGGUGAAGAAGACUUGCUCUUCUAGCCCGAACGGCCGCAGAGACCAGGGAGAAGCGACUGUUUACUAAAAACACAGGUCCGUGCCAAGUCGCAAGACGAUGUAUACGGACUGACGCCUGCCCGGUGCUGGAACGUUAGGGGGACCGGUUAGCCUCACGGCGAAGCUGAGAACUUAAGCGCCAGUAAACGGCGGUGGUAACUAUAACCAUCCUAAGGUAGCGAAAUUCCUUGUCGGGUAAGUUCCGACCUGCACGAAUGGCGUAACGACUUCUCCACUGUCUCAACCACGAACUCGGCGAAAUUGCACUACGAGUAAAGAUGCUCGUUACGCGCAGAAGGACGGAAAGACCCCGGGACCUUUACUACAGCUUGGUAUUGGUGUUCGGUACGGCUUGUGUAGGAUAGGUGGGAGACUGUGAAGCUGAUACGCCAGUAUCGGUGGAGUCAACGUUGAAAUACCACUCUGGUCGUUCUGGAUAUCUAACCUCGGUCCGUGAUCCGGAUCAGGGACAGUGCCUGGUGGGUAGUUUAACUGGGGCGGUUGCCUCCUAAAAGGUAACGGAGGCGCCCAAAGGUUCCCUCAGCCUGGUUGGCAAUCAGGUUUUGAGUGUAAGUGCACAAGGGAGCUUGACUGUGAGAGUGACAACUCGAACAGGGACGAAAGUCGGGACUAGUGAUCCGGCGGUGGCUUGUGGAAGCGCCGUCGCUCAACGGAUAAAAGGUACCCCGGGGAUAACAGGCUGAUCCUGCCCAAGAGUCCAUAUCGACGGCAUGGUUUGGCACCUCGAUGUCGGCUCGUCGCAUCCUGGGGCUGGAGUAGGUCCCAAGGGUUGGGCUGUUCGCCCAUUAAAGCGGUACGCGAGCUGGGUUUAGAACGUCGUGAGACAGUUCGGUCCCUAUCCUCUGCGCGCGCAGGAAACUUGAGAAGGGCUGUCCCUAUUACGAGAGGACCGGGAUGGACGAUCCUCUGGUGUGUCAGUUGUUCUGCCAAGAGCACCGCUGAUUAGCUAUGUUCGGAAGUGAUAACCGCUGAAAGCAUCUAAGCGGGAAGCAUGCUUCAAGAUGAGGUUUCCAUGGGGUUUACCCCGAGAGGCUCCCAGCUAGACUACUGGGUUGGUAGGCCGGAUGUGGAAGUGCGGUAACGCAUGGAGCUGACCGGUACUAAUAAGCCGAUAACUUGACAC
rnacentral:rRNA from 1 species